AUACACGCCUACUAUCUCUGUUUCUAUCUGUGUUCAUCCUUUCAACAUUACUUUUCUCUCUUUCUCUCCAAUCUCGCUACCUCUACACUCCCUCUUUCUGUUUUUAUUCUCUCUCUUUCAUUGCAACCACACCCCUCUUCACACUCUAUCUCCGUUUCUCUGCACCCUCAUUUGUCAAACUUUCUAACGUAUCUUAAACAUCAAUCAUUCCAAGGAUUUUACUCGGUCAUGUCAAGGCCACCUAUUUUCAUCAAGGCCUUGGUGAAAGGAAAUCAAGUUUGGAAAAUGCACAUUAGAGUUGUUGGCCUUUGGGUUAUUAAGGAGAAAAGUGGACUACAACAUAUCGAGAUGGUCAUACAAGAUGGGAAGGGCGAUCAAAUUCAAGUGACAACUCGGAAUCGAGGGUUUAAAGAUUGGAUUGAACAACUUACGGAACAUGAAAAAUAUUGUCUUUAUAAUGGAGAGCUUAUGGUAAAUGAUAACAAGCUGAAAACUUGUCUUCAAUAGAGGAACCGGUGUUUCAAAAAUUGUAAUACCAUAAAUACUACCAUAUCAAUUUAAGUUUAAGCCUAUUGAACAUUUUCUCAGUGGAAAUUUCAAAAGUGAUAUGUUAUAUGGUGAUUUUUUUAAUUAUGCAAACAAAUAGUGUCAAUAUCAUUGUUUGGUUUUGUUACUAUUAAAAUAUUAUCAAGACAUUCUAACAUUUUUUCUUUAUAUUAUUUUGAAGUGCUUCAAAUGUUAUUAGGGUUCUGCAAGUUAUUGUCAAAACACAAAUGGGUGGUGGUGGUAAGAAAUCUUGUGCCACUAUCACUUUACGUGAUGAAACUAGAAAUAUUAUUGAGGUUGAGUUAUGAGAUUAUUAUGGGAAAUAAUUCAUGAGCUAUAAGAGCUCUAACAAGAGUCCUAGUUUAACAAUUUUUAUCUUAACACAUGCAUGGUGUAAGAAAAAUCAAGGUUAGCCACAUUAUCCCAAUCAUAUUUCUAUUUCUUGCAUUAUUUAUUAUUCAUUUCUGCAACUAUAUCUCUCUAUCUGAGGUGCAACAUCUAGAUUUCCAAGCCUUUCAAACGUAUGGAAUGGAUCGAGACUUCACAUUAACUUAGACUAUCCCCAAGUUCACACAUUUAAAUCCAAGUAUGACACUUUGUGUUUUGUUCACUCAAUUGUUCUUACUUUACCUUUAUUCAACCUGCUUUCUGAUUCAACAUGGAUUUUUCUAUUUCAUAAAUUUUCAGCUUAGGAUUAACAUAACCAUCAAAUGCCCUGUGUUAUUGUCUGACCUAAACUUCAUAUUUAUUUGUACAAUUAGACAAUGAAAAUUGGACUAACUCGAACAAGGUCAAGAUUAUUUGUCAAAUAAGUAAAAUGGGAAAGGAUUGUAUCGCCACAACCAUUAGCACUACCAAAAGAUUCAAAGCCUCCAAGUUUGGAUGGUAUUUUGAGACUUGCCUGGCUUACAAAACAUCUAACGAGUCCCUAGGAAAAAAAAAUUGUAUAUGUUUGUGGAGUGAAAGAUGUUGAACCUAUUUCAAAAUACAAAAUAGAAAUAGAAGUCGAGUUUGAUAACCAUGUGGGAUUCUUUGUAUUUUGGGAUAAAGAUUGUAUCACAGUCAUUAAUAUGACUGCUAGAGAAUUGAGACAGGUCAUGAAGGCGGAUGGAGAGGAUAACGCAAAAAUAUAUUCGAUACAGCUUGGAAAACUAUUGAACCAAGAGCUAGCAUUUUGAAUCAAGUAUCAAUCUUUUUUCCAAAAAUUCUCAAUUGUGACAAUCCUUAACGAGGCUGGUGUUUACAAAACCUUGACUGAAAAUCUUAAACCAAAUGAGCAUACUUCACAUGUUGGUGUAUUGGAAUUGGGCACAAACGUUGGAGGCGACGUUCAAGAUCAACCAAUUCUGAGCCAAUCUGCUGAACAAACAUUUUAUGUACAACCAACCAUGUCUUCCAACCAAACUUGGAGUCCAUUAACUAGCUCCAACAAGACCACUGCUAAAAGGGUUGCUAUCUCAACAUCACUGAAAGAUAUUUUUCAAGAUGAAGUCCUAACUCUAAUGCAAUUUUCCACUAAAGUUAAGAGCCUUAAGAAGGAGUGAUCAAAUGGCCAUAAAUUGUUAAGCCUCGCUUUUUGAUGCAUUAUAAUGUUUUGUUGACAUCAUUAAUGUAA